rnacentral:rRNA from 1 species
UACAGAGGGUGCGAGCGUUAAUCGGAAUUACUGGGCGUAAAGCGCGCGUAGGCGGCUUUGCAAGUCGGGUGUGAAAUCCCCAGGCUUAACCUGGGAACUGCAUUCGAGACUGCAUUGCUAGAGUAUGGGAGAGGGAAGUGGAAUUUCCGGUGUAGCGGUGAAAUGCGCAGAUAUCAGGAGGAACACCGAUGGCGAAGGCAGUGAUCUGGGCCAGUACUGACGCUGAGGAGCGAAAGCGUGGGUAGCAAACAGG